UCAGGCCCACAGACCACCUUCAUCCCAGAAUCUCCUCCCUUCUGAAAGCUUCCCCUAGCACCCUUAGUGCUUUUCUGAGGCCAUUCUCGUGCCUCCCGCUCUCAGAGUUGUCACUGCUGUGCUUGGCUCUUCUUGUCCCCAGUGGUGCUGUUGGAAAAACUUCACCUUCCCUCGCUCAGUGAGAACGUGUUGAAGCAAUGAGUCGAAGCUGGCCAAGAAGCUUCCCCAGCAGCCACAGAGGAGGUUUCACACAGGUGGGAUGUGACAACUUUUGGGCAUGCCUGUAUGCACAUACAUAUGCUGGCUAGAGAAGGUGUCAGUAGGAGGAGCUACAGAAUGAGUGAAGAAAACAUUUCUGCUGAAUUCCCUGGAGACAAAAUGUGGCCAAAUUCAAAUCAGCUGCUUCACAGCUGCUGCCAGGUACUUUUGUUCUUGGUUGCUGAUCAGCUCAACAUUAUGAACAGGUGAGAAAGGCAACGUGUCACCAAUGGGCUUGGACUACAGUUUGCUUUGCUUUCACCGGUCAGCCCCAUGGCUCUGUUUUCUGUAUGUUUUAGCAGAAAUCCAGGGCUACAGAAAAGUCCCGGGCUUGCUCUGCUUUUGUGAACUAUGCUACCCUUAUCCAUCUGUGUUUUUACAAUGAGAUCAAGAAGGUUUUUCAAAUUUCUUCUAUGAGUAUUUGUUUAAUAAGUGUUCUCAAAUAUGGUUAGAUAAACCAAACUAUCCUUCGAAUGGAUCCUGGGAAUUGCAGCAGGCUAAUUGUGUCUUCAUCUUUCAGAAACUCCUGUUCAUAGCUGUGUUCUGCGGUGGAAAAUACCACUUCUAAUUGUCCUUGUGUGUGCCAUGCUUUGACAGCAUGUUUUUCUGAAAGCAGACUUCUUUAGCUACAGCUAACAUUAGAAGAGUAGUAAAAUAUGCGAAGCUCACAAAUAUGCUAUAUUUAAGAAACGUUUCAGAUUUGUCUAUAUUGUACAAGUUCUUGAGUAAAUGCAAUGCAUCUCUGCUAAGAGGAGUUCGUCUACUCCAAAACACAAUCUGACAUUUACUCUCAUUUAUUUUGAAAUGCAAAUGCAUCCAGUUUAUUCAGAAUUCUUUUGCAGCUUACUGUCUUAUUAGCGAUCAUGCUGAUAACUCGAAUUUCUGAAAUGCUGUUGCUAAGCAAUGCAACUUCAGGCAUGUAAUGAGGCUUUCCAGUGGCUACUUGAAGAUGAAGAAAAUUAUCUCAGCUUCACAGGUUGUUUGAUCAUCAACCACAUUAUAAUGGUUGGGUGAUAAAUAAGUUUUCAGCUUGCCCUUAUUCUCCUGCAGAUAAUUUAUUUUUGUGUGGUAACUGAAGAUCAUACAGUAUCAGGAAGAAAGUUGUAUAUUUUGGGAUGCCAAAGCAGAAUCAAAGAGCUCUGCGUAACUUUCUAUAAAAAGAACUCUUCUCACAGCUCGUUACUUCGGGAGAGCAGACAGGAGAAUUGGGACCCCAAGGACGUCCCAGCGGGACCCCUCCCCACAGGAGGUGAUGCGAGGUGAUGCAGAUCCCCUGUUGGUGGGGCCUGACCAAAGAGACGUGCCACUUGUGGCAGGAGCAGGCAGCUGUGCUGGGCUGUGUGGUGGUGCAAGUCUUCCACACAGGCUCUGUUCUUGGGAAGCAAAAGCUGUGCACCGUAUCGGGACAGGAGAAAUUCCCCUGACGCCCCCAAGCCUGGCGCUCCCCAGCACAUAACAGCAGCUGGCACCCGGCAGAGCUUUCGUUACCGGCUGCCCACAGUGCAGCGGUACCUGCUGGAGUCUGGCUGCUCUUGGAGCAUCCUAUGAUCAUUUAUUUUCGUCACUGCAAAGUCCAGUUGCUUAAACACAUUGACAUGAAUUUGGGGUUCCCACUUUUCUAUAGGACCAGCUUGGAGCUCUUUUUUCUUUUUUUCCUUUUCCAUUUUCUUUCUUUCUUCUUCUUCUUUCUUCUUCUUCUAUUUAUUUAUUUAUUUUAUUUAUUUAUUUAUUUAUUUAUUUCCUGGCAGAAUUAUCCAUUCUGAUAAUACCUGCAGCUCAAGUAGAUGGGAGCAAUGUCUGGAACAGCUAAUGCGCUCUUGAGCGUGCUACUCCAGGGAAAGUAGGUUGAGCUGCCUCAGUCCGGCACACAGCACCCAGACCUUGAUCUCUCAGUGCCUCAGUCCUCCAAAGGAGGCAGUAUCUACAAGGCAGUGAAAAUAAGCCAGUGUGUGAGGCAGUCAGAAGUAAU